CGGCGGGGCAGGCGGAGCGCGGUGCCGUCCCCGCCCCGGCCGCUCGGCAGGUGCCGCGGGGGAGGAUGGCGCCGGGGGACGCGGAGCAAGUGCGGUACUGCGGGAGGCUGUCCUACCUCUGCCUGAAGCUCACCCUCAUCGUCUAUUCCACCACCUUCUGGGUGAUCGGAGCCCUUGUCCUCGCUGUUGGGAUUUAUGCAGAAGUUGAAAGACAGAAGUACAAAACUCUAGAAAGCGCCUUUCUAGCCCCAGCAAUUAUUUUAAUACUUUUGGGCAUUAUAAUGUUCCUGGUAUCUUUUGUGGGGGUACUGGCUUCUUUAAGAGACAAUUUAUGCCUUCUUCAAGCAUUCAUGUACAUUCUUGGGAUCUGCUUGCUGAUUGAGCUGACUGGUGGAGUGGUGGCUCUGAUCUUCAGAAACCAGACAAUCAACUUCUUGAAUGAUAAUAUUAGAAGAGGAAUUGAGAAUUACUACGAUGAUUUAGACUUCAAGAACAUUAUGGAUUCUGUUCAAAAGCAGUUUAAGUGCUGUGGUGGGGAAGAUUACAAAGACUGGUCAAAAAACGUGUACCACAACUGUGCGGCACCGGGACCGCUGGCCUGCGGGGUGCCCUACACUUGCUGCGUCACAAAUAAGCGUUUGCUGCUCCAGCUUUGCCAGGAUGCCUGGGCUCCGAGUGCUUCCGUGGUUAGGGGCUGGAGUGCUGUGCACUGGCUGCCGUGUGAAUUAAAUACCCGACAGAACAAUCUCAUCAUCCAGCAAAAUCCUGAAAUAUGGGCAGAUGCAGGGUCACUCCAGGUCUAGACUGGAGCUGCUGCUCUGCCCUAACCCAUCCUCGAAAGCUGCCUGCCUUGCUACGCUGUAAAACCAUCCCUGGAAAGACACCCUGUCAGCUGGAGCCUAGACCUGUUCCUUGGUCUACGAUAAACUGGUAUUGACUGGUGCUGGCAGCACUGGGAGCAGGUAUUGAGUUCCAUGUAAAUGUGUUUUACAUGAAUUUUAGCAGUUUUAAUUCAUCCCUCUUCAUUGAAGGACAGAUCUAAUGCUGAAUUUGAUAAAGAACUCUUCCUCAACUUAAAGCCAGUAUGGGCAAUCCCUGCCUUCCUGGGUUUUGGUCUUUGGUCUGAAUAUGAGACUGAGAAAUUGAGUGUGUGUAAGAGCAGACGCAGCAGAGCUCGUGAUGGAUCGCCUACCGGUGACAUGUGCUGCCCUUUCAAUAGCUGCCUCGAGCGUAGCUGUUUAAUUAAAGAAGGGAAAAUAAAUGCAGUAAUUGUGUCAAUAAUCCUGCUCACUUUGCUGAGAAAUGUGUAAAAUAUGAAGGUGUUUAUUACCUAUGCUUAUACAUUUUUUUGUGUAUGCGAAAGAGUCUGUUUAAAUCUGUGCUGAACUUGGAUUUAUUCUCAGGAACCAAAGCUAAACAGUUAUGCUUUAAGUCUUAGGUGUUUGGGAAUAAGAAAGUCGUGUAUAUGAAAAGAAUAUCUGCUGAUCCCCAGCUGCACAGAGCAGAAAAGCUCAGGAUUUUACCCUCAGUUGAUGGUAAAGGAAGAUAGAGCUGGCUAAUAAGGAGCUAUCUGGCUUUUUAGAGUCAUUCAAAAUGCCGCUUGUUUUUUGGUGGCUCUCAUUUCUUUGUUGAAGUCUUAUUUUAAAAGGUUCGUUGAUGUGUGUGGAAAUACAGCAAGUCCCAUGAAGGCGAAGCACUGCGAUAAUCAGUGACUAAUAACGCCAAAUGCCUUUUCAGACAUGACACAAAUAAUCAGACGCAUGGGCUUCAAGUGCAACUGGUUAUAUUCUUUGUAUGCUACACUGGCCACUGGGGAGACGGAGAUGACUAUUUGUAGCCUAAAAGUAGCCUGCAAAGCGUUAAGCUCAGGGAAGUUCAUUGAAAAGCGGGGAGAAGCCCCAAGAUAAUAGCCAAACUUCUUAUUUAAGGGUUAGGAGGGCUUCAGGAGGACACUGCGGUACGUUAGUGCUCAUGGCUUUGCUGCAGAGGGAUGCCAUCGCUGUGCCUUCUCUGCAGGAUGACACUAACACCGUGGCUGUGUGGUCAGCUGCCUCGAGGGAAAAAAAGCAGCCAACCAGAAGAUGCAUAAAUCUUAUAUGUUUGACAAAUGCUUCCAAAUACAGGCUGGUUUCUGUCCUGGAAAACUGCGGAUCUGGUUUGUGAUUACUCAUUCACUUUGUAGUCAUGGAAAACUCUUGCUGGUGUCAGAGGUCGGUUUCUGAUCCUCUGAAAAAGCCUUGUGCAAAGAUGAUCCAGGCUUAUGUUGGAAGGGCUCUGAAGGGACCAUUUUCAAGUCAAAGUGUUUAUCGAAGACUUACACUAGUGGAACAGAUAAAAAUUAGUCCCUAAAUGCCUAGAAACCUCUGUUUCUAAUGUGUUUAUAUCUCUGUUAUGUGCAUUUCCAUGUGCCGCAAUGUCGCAAUGUCCUGUUAGCAAAUGCUGUAUUUAAAAUUAAAUGAUGUGGCUGUGUUCGUUGCUGGCAAAUAUUCCACUGAUGGGUCUGCGCUUGUCUGUUAGGGUCAAGCAUUUUGCAAAUGAGAAACCUCUCACAGGAGAUGCUUCAACACGCAGAUGCCUGGUAUUGCAAACUUUGAAUUCCAAGAGCAUUUAUGACCUGUGGUUACCAAUGAGAUGGGUGCUCAUUGCCUCAUUUGAUGCUGGUGGGCUUUGCACUGGCUGAUUUGCAAGCAGAUGAUAUUUUCUUACCAGCUUUGCCAGGCCAGGUAGAGCCUUGGGACUCAAGCAAAAUAUUAAAUGGCUACAGAAAAUGCAUUGGUAAUGUCUUUUUUAAAGAUAUAUUAAUUUAUAAAUGUAUUUUUAAGAUAUAUUAAUUUUAAGAUAUAUUAAUUUCAUAUUCAUAUGCGUAAUGACAUAUAAAAUAUAUUAGAUUAUAAUGAAUCUGGUCUUGUAAAAUGUUCAUGUGAGCAUUCGUACUAUUGGACAUUACUUGGGUGUUAGAUAUUUCUGAGCUUGAUUGUGUCAUCAUGAUGGUAUGAUGGCUGUGUUAAUCGCUGGUUCUCUUAAUAAGAUGCCUUCAGUUAUUAAGGCCUGAAAAUUAAACCCAGCUGUUCAUUCUGCAGAAACAGCUGUGGCUUACAGCUCUGUUCUAGCUAGCUUUGAUUUCUGACACUACGUGAGUUUUCCUGGAUAGUUACACUUCAACACUGUCUUGUGUCAUGACACACCGGCAAUACUGAUUUCUCUAAAAUCAUGUAGAGCUGUAUCUAAAUCUGACCCUGAGGCUGCUGGGAAGAAAUGGAUGAUGGACUGAGGAGUGACCCUUGUUGUUGCUUUUAUAUGAGCUGGGUGAACACAAGAAUAAAAAUAUUUUAUUUUGUCAAUUUUUGUUUUCUGCUCUAGUUUAUAUUGGUUAUUUUCUUUCCAGACAGGCAUUGUCAACACUAUGUGUGGAUACAAAACCAUUGACAAAGAGCGUUUGAGUCUUCAGCACGAUAUAUACGUCCGUGGAUGCACAAAUGCAGUGCUUAUUUGGUUUUUGGACAACUACAGCAUCAUGGCUGGUGUGCUGCUUGG